rnacentral:rRNA from 1 species
UACGUAGGGACCAAGCGUUGUUCGGAUUUACUGGGCGUAAAGGGCGCGUAGGCGGCUUAACAAGUCACUUGUGAAAUCUCCGGGCUUAACUCGGAACGGCCAAGUGAAACUGUCAAGCUAGAGUGCAGAAGGGGCAAUCGGAAUUCUUGGUGUAGCGGUGAAAUGCGUAGAUAUCAAGAGGAACACCUGAGGUGAAGACGGGUUGCUAGGCUGACACUGACGCUGAGGCGCGAAAGCCAGGGGAGCAAACGGG